rnacentral:misc_RNA from 1 species
UCCGGUUUGGCACCGGCAGUCUCCAAUGAGUCCCCGGCAUUACCCGCUGGCAACAUUGGACAGGGGUUGCGCUCGUUGCGCCACUUAAGGAAACACCUCACGGCACGAGCUGACGACAGCCAUGCACCACCUGUGCACAGGCCCCGAAGGGCUGCCGUGUUUCCACGACAUUCCUGUGCAUGUCAAGCCCUGGUAAGGUUCUUCGCGUCGCAUCGAAUUAAACAACAUGCUCCGCUGCUUGUGCGGGUCCCCGCCAAUUCCUUUGAGUUUUAGCCUUGCAGCCGUACUCCCCAGGCGGGGCACUUAAUGCGUUAGCUACGGCACGGGAGGAGUCGACACCUCCCACACCUAGUGCCCAUCGUUUACGGCGUGGACUAC